rnacentral:rRNA from 1 species
AUGAUCCGCUAUAUCCACAUUGACAAUGACUUUCAUGAGACUAUCCACUCCGACUGGCAAGGGAUUCCUCCUAAGAGAAUCCAACGGCGGCAGCAGCAGCUUCCCCACAAAAUCACCAUUUGGACGUUGAACUCCAAGUUCGAGUGGGAGGUGCAUUGUAAGAUCAACCUGGAUUGUCUCUCGGCACAACCUCUUUACCGAGGUCUACCUCGGCGUCUUCCUGAGUUCCCAGUCAUCAGCAUGGAUGACCCGGGUGUUCUGUGCUGCCUGCUGAGGGUGAAGGAAUUUGGUGGCAAGGAGCGGAUGAUCAUGGUUGACAUGAACCAUGCGGAUCUGCAGUCAUGUACUGAUGUGAAUGUAGAAGACAAGUUCUCUAAUACCACCCAACUUCCAACUGUCUUCUCCAAAUACCUUCAAAAGGCCAACAGGGAUGGCAUGGGACAACAUUGA